rnacentral:lncRNA from 10 species
AUGCCUUCCCUCUCCUUCCUUCUACAGUACCAUCUUUUUUCCUGCUCAAUAUUAUCAAACCAAGCUACAAAUCUAAUUAAACUGUCUUGAUGCCAAAAUCUCUGCUCCUGGAGAAAUGCAUCAUGCAGCACAUCUAGGUCUGGAGGCAAGAAAUAAUCAGAUUGCUGGGCCAAAAUCCGGGUAUCCAGAGCCACACUACUUCCAGAGGUCCUAGAGGAGAAUCCAUCCAUUCCUUGAACUCAGAAUUCAAGACGGGAACUCCUAGGCUUGUGACCACAUCACUCCAGUCUUCAAGUACAGCAUCUUCAAACUUGUUCUGCCUUCAGUGUGUUUGUGUGUGUGUGUGUGUGUGUGUGUGUGUGUUUAUAAAAUCUCUCUCUGCCUUCAUUUAUAAGGAUAUAGGUUAUGGCAUUUAGGGGCCACCUGAAUAAUCCAACAUAACCUUCCCAUCUCAAGAUCCUUAGUUUAAUCACACCUGCAAAGACUCUUUUCCCAAAUAAGGUAGCAUUUACAGAUUCUCAGGACCUGAUAUCUUUUGAGGCCUAAGAUCUUUUUGAGGACAGCCCACCACACCUGGGCACAAUGUACAGUGAAUAUAGUUCCCUUAUGACUUAAUGGAGCAAAGCAGUCAUGCAAGCCUUGGAAAUCCUUACUUUGAGAUACUAGGUUGAAGAGAAAUAAACAUAUUUUAAGCCACUGUUACUCUGGGCCUUGUUGAGUUCAAUCAUAAUGAAUCCUAACUGAUAACAGU